GCCCCUGUAGCUCAGCUGGUAGAGCACGUGAUUUGUAAUCUCGUGGCCGCAGGUUCGAAUCCUGUCGGGGGCU
rnacentral:tRNA from 1 species